rnacentral:misc_RNA from 1 species
CAGGAUCAAAUGUGCAAUCGUUAAGUCAACAAAAUCAUAGCAUUUUUCAUUUCUUACUUCAAUUCCUCUUGUAGUUCACUUGAUAGGUAAAUAUCAACAUUUUUUUUUUCAUAUUUCUAUUAACUAACAAGUAAAUAUCCGCUUCCAGAACAAUACAGAAUUAACCAAACACUACUAUAACUCUUAAAGCUAACCAGAAGUUACGUCCUGGCUGUGAAAACAGGUUCAUGGCACACAGAAUAUAUUACAAAGUCUCACAAAGUAUUAUCCACCUAAGAGUAGCAACAGAAAACCAAGACAAUUAACAAAUUUAUCCUUAGAAACAAUGAAGCUGAUUACACUAGAGUGCAAACUUCUCGCUCGAUGUGGUUACAAGCAGUUAACAACAGAACAGUGAAUUGGUCCAUCUCCAAUAAAACAGAGAACAUGUUUCCAACAUCAAAUACAACAUGAAUAAUAAGAUGUUUUAAAUCCCAACAUAUCUCUUUUAGCUUAAAGUCUAUCAACUUUUUGCUUAAAACCUACCAACUUGGAUGGGUUUCAAAAUUGAGACACCUAAUACUGAAUUUUGUAUAAAAUACCUAUGCUAGUGCUUCUUUACUUAGGCAUUUGCCAUGGUAACAAAAAUGAAGUACUAGUUACAAAUACAGUAGAUCGCCAUUAAUAGAACCCAACCAUGUACCAGGAAAGCAUAAACCAUAAAAUUUAUGUUUCUUAACCAAAUAGGAACAGUUCAAUAUUUACUCCUAGAGGUAAUUCUGCAUGGAGCUCAGCUAAUGGGUUCAAACACAGCACCUCCCCCAAGAACAUGGAGGGGAAAAAAGAAAUUCCUUAACUUUGUACAUGAUAGCUCAGGAUGGUAUACUCUUUAGCUUUUCAACCUUCAGAAAGUGAUAGUUACAUGUCAAAAGAUUGAAAGAGUACCAUAUACAUGGUCAGAAAUAACUAAAUAAAAAAAAAUGUUACCACAUACCAACAGGUGCAAGCAGAUUCAGCCACUGGGUCAGUAGCCCAAUGGUCAAAGCGCCUACCUCAUAAUGCAUAAAGUUAGUAGUUCAAUCCCUAACCGCUCCCCCUUCCCCUUUUAAAUUUCCAAUGUACCCAAAUAUUACAGGCAAAUUCAUAAAAUUAUAAGAUUGGUACAGCUUAACAGACAUCAGACUUGUUCUUACAAUAGUCCCAGCUGAGCUAAGGUUGGCUAAAAUCCAUAACAUCUAAAACAAGAUGACCUAAAUUUAAUAUAGUACACAAAGAAAUUUACAACUAAUAAAAUUCAUUUAGCAAGAUUGGGAAUACACAUGCAAUUCAUGAGUAAAUAAUCAUAAACUAACACCAUCCUGUUGGAUAUUUAGACUUAAUCCAACAAAGAAAACAGAGAAUAAGAACAAAGGGAAACACAGGAAACAAACUUUGGCACAUACAAUACAUUCCAUAAUACAGUAUAAAGAAAGCUAAUUUGAAUUAUUGAAAUAGAAAUGAAAAUUUUCACAAUAACUAAAAGAUGAGCAUAACCAAAUUUUGUAAAGG